rnacentral:misc_RNA from 1 species
CAGAUAAGAUGCUGAUUGCUUUAGGUAAGUUCUGAGGGACUAUCAAGUUCAUUUUAUUUGCCAAUUUCUAUAGCCCUACAACUUCCCUAUGAAAUUGAAGCUUUGAACUUCCCCUUUUCCCCUUAGCCUGCAAAGAGGACAGCUGUGGACUCUUAAGUUGAUGACAUUUGCUGUUCUAUAUUUGAGAGAAUGCAAAUUGUUAAGUUCAACCAUAUCAGAAAGGGAAAAAAGAAGUAAAACACUCUAAUUAAAAGUGUGGCUUUCUGCAAAUAUUGGUUUAUUUGUAUCAUGUAUAGUAGAGUAGUUCCUCAACAAUAUGUCUUACCUUUAGCUACUCCCUACAGUAUGAGGAGUGUCAAUUGAUGUGUCAUAACAGAAUUUUAGGUUUUAUUGACUGACCUGUCUUGAAUAGAAUUUGAAUUAAUGUUCAUAAACAUUAUCAAGCUUUUGUUGGGCCAGGAUCUCACCAAUUCUGACCUCAUGGUGAAUUUCAACUUAAAGUGUAUAGUUAGUUGGAUGACGAUCAAACAAAGAGUUGGGAAUAUUCUCAUACUGUUAUGAUAUAUCAUAUACAAGUG